AGGAAUAUUGCACAAUGGGCGCAAGCCUGACGCAGCCAUGCCGCGUGAAUGAUGAAGGUCUUAGGAUUGUAAAAUUCUUUCACCGGGGACGAUAAUGACGGUACCCGGAGAAGAAGCCCCGGCUAACUUCGUGCCAGCAGCCGCGGUAAUACGAAGGGGGCUAGCGUUGCUCGGAAUUACUGGGCGUAAAGGGCGCGUAGGCGGACAUUUAAGUCAGGGGUGAAAUCCCGGGGCUCAACCUCGGAACUGCCUUUGAUACUGGGUGUCUUGAGUGUGAGAGAGGUAUGUGGAACUCCGAGUGUAGAGGUGAAAUUCGUAGAUAUUCGGAAGAACACCAGUGGCGAAGGCGACAUACUGGCUCAUUACUGACGCUGAGGCGCGAAAGCGUGGGGAGCAAA
rnacentral:rRNA from 1 species